rnacentral:rRNA from 1 species
CCUACGGGGUGCAGCAGUGGGGAAUAUUGGGCAAUGGACGCAAGUCUGACCCAGCAACGCCGCGUGAAGGAAGAAGGCUUUCGGGUUGUAAACUUCUUUUAAGGGGGAAGAGCAGAAGACGGUACCCCUUGAAUAAGCCACGGCUAACUACGUGCCAGCAGUCGCGGUAAUACGUAGGUGGCAAGCGUUGUCCGGAUUUACUGGGUGUAAAGGGCGUGCAGCCGGGAAGACAAGUCAGAUGUGAAAUCCUGCGGCUCAACCGCGGAACUGCAUUUGAAACUGUUUUUCUUGAGUAUCGGAGGGGAAGUCGGAAUUCCUGGGGUAGCGGUGAAAUGCGUAGAUAUUAGGAAGAACACCGGUGGCGAAGGCGGAUUACUGGACGGCAACUGACGGUGAGGCGCGAAAGCGUGGGGAGCAAACAGGAUUAGAUACCCCAGUAGUC